rfam:Picea glauca, whole genome shotgun sequence.
UCUUAAGUACAUGCCUACAAUUUUAAUACAACAAAUCCCAUUAGAACUCCAUAGUUAAGCAUGCUUGGGAUAGAGUAGUACUAAGAUGGGUGACCUCUCAGGAAGUCCUAGUGUUUUACAU